rnacentral:rRNA from 1 species
UACGUAGGGCGCGAGCGUUGUCCGGAAUUAUUGGGCGUAAAGAGCUCGUAGGCGGCCUGUUGCGUCCGCUGUGAAAUCCCAGGGCUCAACCCUGGGCGUGCAGUGGAUACGGGCAGGCUGGAGGCAGGCAGGGGAGAACGGAAUUCCCGGUGUAGCGGUGAAAUGCGUAGAGAUCGGGAGGAACACCAGUGGCGAAGGCGGCUACCUGGACCAGCACUGACACUGAAGCACGAAAGCGUGGGGAGCAAACAGG